rnacentral:rRNA from 1 species
GAGUUUGAUCCUGGCUCGGAUUGAACGCUGGCGGCAUGCCUUACACAUGCAAGUCGAACGGUAACAGGUCUUCGGAUGCUGACGAGUGGCGAACGGGUGAGUAAUACAUCGGAACGUGCCCGAUCGUGGGGGAUAACGAAGCGAAAGCUUUGCUAAUACCGCAUAAGAUCUACGGAUGAAAGCAGGGGACCGCAAGGCCUUGCGCGAACGGAGCGGCCGAUGGCAGAUUAGGUAGUUGGUGGGAUAAAAGCUUACCAAGCCGACGAUCUGUAGCUGGUCUGAGAGGACGACCAGCCACACUGGGACUGAGACACGGCCCAGACUCCUACGGGAGGCAGCAGUGGGGAAUUUUGGACAAUGGGCGAAAGCCUGAUCCAGCCAUGCCGCGUGCAGGAUGAAGGCCUCGGUUGUAACUAGCUUUGUACGGUAACGAAAG